UGCCCCAUGGCUGAGUUAGUUACAGCGUCCGACUGUUAAUCGGAAGGUCGAGAGUUCGAGCCUCUCUGGGGCAG
rnacentral:tRNA from 1 species